rnacentral:rRNA from 1 species
CUAAUACCGGAUAGGAGCUCCUGCUGCAUGGUGGGGUUGGAAAGUUUCGGCGGUUGGGGAUGGACUCGCGGCUUAUCAGCUUGUUGGUGGGGUAGUGGCUCACCAAGGCUUUGACGGGUAGCCGGCCUGAGAGGGUGACCGGCCACAUUGGGACUGAGAUACGGCCCCAGACUCCUACGGGAGGCAGCAGUGGGGAAUAUUGCACAAUGGGCGGAAGCCUGAUGCAGCAAUGCCGCGUGCGGGAUGACGGCCUUCGGGUUGUAAACCGCUUUCGCCUGUGACGAAGCGUGAGUGACGGUAAUGGGUAAAGAAGCACCGGCUAACUACGUG